UAGUUACCAAUGGCCUAUCACUUCUGGGUAUUUUGAUUGGCAUUUCCCUAUUUGGCUACUUAGUCACCUUUCUAAUGUGUUGGGCAGGCUUCUAAUAGGACCUCUGUCUGGCUGUGGCCCUGGAUAGGGCUGAAACUGCGGUCUGCUGGUGUGAUGCUCCGAUUAUGUCAAAAACGCUCACUAUGGGUUGUUUCUGCUCAUCCAGAAUUAUCUCUAGCUCGCAAUCACAUUUGCAUAUGCUGCACAAAACUACUCCAGUUGAAAUAGUAGCCUUUGGCUUUCAAUUUACCUUCUUUGUGACUCUUCUAUCCACGUUGGGAUUGAUUUCCAUUAUCAAUUUGCCUUUCUCCUAUUCUGGCUCGCUU
rnacentral:lncRNA from 1 species